GUCGGAGUGGCGGAAUAGGCAGACGCGCUAGGUUGAGGGCCUAGUCCACGCAAGUGGGUGGGGGUUCAAGUCCCCCCUCCGACA
rnacentral:tRNA from 1 species